rnacentral:rRNA from 1 species
AGAGUUUGAUCCUGGCUCAGGACGAACUCUGGCGGCGUGCUUAAUACAUGCAAGUCGAACGAUGAUGCUUGGUGCUUGCGCUGGGUGGAUUAGUGGCGAACGGGUGAGUAAUACGUGAGUAACCUGCCCCUGUCUUUGGGAUAAGCCUGGGAAACUGGGUCUAAUACUGGAUAUUCUGCUUGAACCGCAUGGUUUUUGUUGGAAAUAUUUUUCGGAUGGGGAUGGGCUCACGGCCUAUCAGCUUGUUGGUGGGGUGAUGGCCUACCAAGGCGUCGACGGGUAGCCGGCCUGAGAGGGUGACCGGCCACAUUGGGACUGAGAUACGGCCCACACUCCUACGGGAGGCAGCAGUGGGGAAUAUUGCACAAUGGACGCAAGUCUGAUGCAGCGACGCCGCGUGGGGGAUGAAGGCUUUCGGGUUGUAAACUCCUUUCAGUACAGAAGAAGCGAAAGUGACGGUAUGUGCAGAAGAAGCACCGGCUAACUACGUGCCAGCAGCCGCGGUAAUACGUAGGGUGCGAGCGUUGUCCGGAAUUAUUGGGCGUAAAGAGCUCGUAGGCGGUUUGUUGCGCCUGCUGUGAAAACCUGGGGCUUAACUUCGGGAUUGCAGUGGGUACGGGCAGACUAGAGUGUGGUAGGGGUAAUUGGAAUUCCUGGUGUAGCGGUGGAAUGCGCAGAUAUCAGGAGGAACACCGAUGGCGAAGGCAGGUUACUGGGCCACCACUGACGCUGAGGAGCGAAAGCGUGGGUAGCGAACAGGAUUAGAUACCCUGGUAGUCCACGCCGUAAACGUUGGGCACUAGGUGUGGGGCCUUUCCAUGGGUUCUGCGCCGUAGCUAACGCAUUAAGUGCCCCGCCUGGGGAGUACGGCCGCAAGGCUAAAACUCAAAGGAAUUGACGGGGGCCCGCACAAGCGGAGGAACAUGUGGUUUAAUUCGAUGAUACGCGAGGAACCUUACCCGGGCUCGAACGGUGCAUGAAUAUACGAGAGAUUGUAUAGUCCUUCGGGACAUGUAUCGAGGCGCUGCAUGGUUGUCGUCAGCUCGUGCCGUGAGGUGUCGGCUUAAGUGCCAUAACGAGCGCAACCCUUGUCAUUAGUUGCCAUCAGGUCAAGCUGGGGACUUUAAUGAGACUGCCACCGUAAGGUGUGAGGAAGGGGGGGAUGACGUCAAAUCAGCACGGCCCUUAUGUCCGGGGCGACACACGUGUUACAAUGGGAGGUACAGAGGGCAGCUAUCCGGUGACGGAAUGCUAAUCUCCAAAGCCGGUCUCAGUUCGGAUCGAAGUCUGCAACUCGACUUCGUGAAGUUGGAUUCGCUAGUAAUCGUAUAUCAGCAACGAUACGGUGAAUACGUUCCCGGGCCUUGUACUCACCGCCCGUCAAG